CACAAGGCAUUGAAUCAUCUUCUCUGGAAAACCUACAGAAAUCUGCCAUCUUAUACUGGAUUCUGAAAAAAAUAAGCAUGAUGUGAAUUUUAUGGAGCAGGUGUGGGUGCCAGGGAAAGGUGGAGGCUGGUGUCACACUUCACAGCAUAAAGCCACCCACCAUCAAGGCUGCUUUUCAUGUGCUCAGCCAAUGUGAACCCUACUGGAAACAGAAGGCCCUCUGAGGCUACGUGUAAGCCUGAAGGAACAGAGCAGGCUUUUGAGGCAGGAAAUCAAAGACAUUGGAAAAAUUCCUGCUUCAAAUCACGCAUUUGAUGCUGCAGAAGACACCUCAGCUUACAGGAGAAAUUCCUGUGCAUUUGAAGGAGACUUCAUCUUUGGUCCAGUGGGGGAUAAACCUGAAUCAUGAGAAACCAAAAACCGAAGGGGUUACAAAUAGAAUUGGGAGACUUCUUUGUGUUUGGAGGGCUACCCAAGGCCACCGGUGACAAGAGAGCUGUUCACAGAGCAUGAUACUGCCUGAUGUGAAUCUGGCCAUGUGACUCACCUGACAGCAUGAGGUUGGUCUAGAAAGAUGCUGUGUCUCCUGAUUUUUGGUUGUCCAUCUCGGUGGUGCUGCUGACUCUUUCCUUUCUUUAGAAUUAGUGUUACUGAAGAGUCAGGCAGUAUUGAAGGCAGUACAAACAAGACGAAAAACUUUGGUGCCAUGUUGGAUCAUACAUGCAGAAUUUUAUGACGUAUCAAGGCCUGAUCCAAAACUGUUACAAUUACUCAUAGUUCCAUAUGAUUUUGGUUUUCUUUUCCAACAGUGGGAUUCCCUUGCUGUAGGAAUGAGCUGAUUUUGUUUUUCUCUUUAUGUCUACUUUCAGUUUUGCACAGCUCUGCACAGGGAGGUACCUUUGGAAAGCAUAGUUCUGUGACAUAUUUAUAUGAUCAGAUUGAACUAUGAACCAGGAGAGGGAAAUCUAAAGGCAGUGACAGGAAUUCAAAGACUUGUUAAAAUAGUUUGAAAAUUUCAGGAAUUCAAAUGGUAAUCUCACAAUGGUGUGAAUUCAUGUAUGCUUGUGCUGGUGCCAAAAAAAUCCAAAUUAACCUGUAAAUUGAAACAAAGAAUCUGAUUUUGCAUUUCAUGGGAUUGUGGUAGGGCUGAAGGAAUCAACAGACAUAAAAAUAUGUUGACAACACAGGUGUAAUUUUUUAAAAAAGGAGAAGGAGAUGCCCUCAAAUAUAUUAUCUGAAGUAGACUGUAUUGAUAAACUGGGCAAUUAGGUUACAUAAAUCAGUGCUGCAAACAUACUGGGAUAAUCAAAUAAGUGGGUAAGACUAGUUAGAACUGGCCUAUACUACAGAUGAACAAAAAUACGUAGCCCUUACUGGCAGAACAGAAUUGUUUCUGCCCUAAGGCAGCUGAAUCUCUAGAAACACCUGUAACAGUUCUGCUAAACGUAAUUACAGUUGUCAGAUGAAAAGAAGACACGAUAAGAUCAGAUAAUUCCACCACUCUGGAGUCCACUGAAAUCAAUUAGGUAUUUCCAGGUUACUUUAAAGGAUGCUGGGUCAGCGGGAGAAGGACCUGCUUAGAAACUGAGAUAUUUGUGAUUUUGCAGCUUUGUGGUAUUGAAAAGCACUGCUACAGAGGGGGAAAACCAGAAGUUUUGAGGAAAUGUCCUGCUUUGUAUUGCUGAUGUGUCACCUCCUGUCUGCUCAAGAAUGCAUUGACUGAGAGGCAAACAAGGGGAGAGGGAGAGCUCAGUGUGAGGGUGCAACAGAUCAUAGAUAAACACGAGCAGAUAUGGCUUUAAUGUGAAGCUUGAAGUUACAGAUAUUUCAACAAAACUCAGAUAUUUUGAAGCUGAGUUUUCUUGAAUUCUGAGUCAGAGAAAAAACGCAAAUGUAUUGCAAAUCAGAUAAGCCAGCACUUAGGGUUGUAUGUAGAAGCUAAACUUAAAUGCCUAUAAACUAUCUGGACUGUGGCAUGCAUAUGUGAGGGUUUAACAAAAAUUAGUUUAAUGAAGGAACAGAUUUCCUAUCAAACUUCCAGUAACUCCAAAACAAUCUAAAAAUAGGAUAUUUCAAAACUAAUAGUUUGACAAUGUUCUUGCUAGCUAAUGACCUAAGCACAUGAGAAAUCUGAUGUGGCUAUCAUGCAUCAUGUUGUUGACACGGACUGUGAGAGUCUGGUAUGCUAUUUAAAAAAUAAUUGGAGGAGGGAGGGUUAUUUUGAAAGAAAUAAGUCUUUCUGGGAGCAAGUUUUUUUCAUUUUAGCCUAACAACCUUUUUGAACAUGAUACUGAAGAGAACAAGGAGCAAAGACGGUUCCCUGCUUUUACUUUAUAGUUUGACUUCUGAGGGAACAGUGAAACUAGUUUCAUCCAUGUCUUGAAAGAUGGUUGUCCCUGCUAGACUGUUCCAAAAGUCUCCUAAAUGACCAUUUCAACAGAAGAUUGCCUGCUGUGAGUCAGCUUAUAAAGGGAAACACAGAUGAUAAUUUAGAUUUCACAAGAACCCUGAUAACAUUCUUAGUCAUGAGAAAGGGUUCCUGUAAAGGAGUUCACAAAGAGUAAUAAAAUUCUUUUGUAAGUAACAGCCUAGUUGAUAUUAACAGUAGUCCUUACUUAAAACUGCUGCAUAUGUGCGAAUGCGUGUGUGUGUGUGUGUGUGUGUGUGUGCGCAUGUGUCUGUGAGUGUGUGCAGAGAGAGUAGGAGAAAACUUUAUUUUUCUGAAUGAUGGUGUUGUUUAAAACAAAUAUAUGAGUUGGUCUUUUAAGCAGAGCAGAUUUAAAGGCUAAAAAAUAAUUAGAUCCAAGGUUGGGUAACAAUUUAUUUACAACAGUACUUGACAAGUGUUUUUAGAGUAGUCAGUGGGACUUUUCUAUUUCAUGGUGGGUCCAAUCCUUCAGGCAUUUUAAUACAUGCAAACUACUGGCUGAAAACCAAUGUCUUUUACAGAGGGAUAUUCUCUAAACAGACUAAGCAGACUCUUUUCUUUUUCCCCAAAGCCUUAAUUUAAAAAAAUUAAAAAUUCUAACUGCAGUUUCUAAGUAUCCACAGGUAUUUUCUUGCAACAGCAUUGCCAAUAAAGCCCUGGAGCGUUCCGGAGGCAAUGCCCGUCGGGGCAGGGUGCAGCCGGCUGUGCGGAGCAGUCUUGGUACCGCAGCGCUCCAUCUACUGCUGCGUGGGGAAAGUCUUCCGUGCACCUCUGCCUCCCUCUGCCGCCCUGGAAGUCGGCUCCGAAUGAUUUUUGACGGCUUAGAUCAACCUGUGAGGCUGCUUUCAUGCUGGGGAGGGUUGGGAUAUUUAGCCCGUGGUAUCACCUUACUUCCUUCCUCUCCUACAUCGCUGCCCAGGCAUCUUCAUCCGUCAUGGAGGUUAGGGGCUGAGAUCGUGUUUCAGCCUUUUUAAGAGCUGAGAUUGUGAGGCCAAGGGUCUCUGAAAGACUCACUUCUCAAACCACAACUAGCUGUGACUGCCAAUUCCUCUGAUUGAGUAGUAACUGCUGUGCACAAAUUGGUAGUCUAGAAAAGGGGCAAGCAUGAAGAAAUCUAUUGCUAACAUCAGAGGUAUUAAUUUGCUAUCUGCAUUCGUAAUGUCCCGUCAGUGACUCUGGUCAAAGGCCAAAAAAAUGCCUUUGAAACCGGGGAAACAUGUCUGCAUAUAUGAGCAGUGCAGGGGUUAUCCAUUCAGUUAAAACAGAUCUUUAACUGCAGCACUGGUCAACCUCUGUGGCCAGUGCCGGUUAGAAAAUCUUGAGUGGGAAUUGUGUUCUUCCAGGGACCAAAUGGUGUUGCUAUUUGGAUUUUGAGCUUUUUCUAUGACAGAAAGCUGGAUUCCUUAUGCAAAAAUUUAAUAUUUGUUUCAGAACAUGGCAAUAGAACAAAUUCAGCCUUGUCUGUUUCUCUAAAAAGAUGUGAUUUAAGAAAUCAGUUCAUUUUGAACAGCAUUACUUUUCCAAGUGGAAAAUUAUUCAGCUGAGGGCUCUCCAAUGAAAUUUAUCAUUAUUUUUUCAGCUUCUGAAAAAAAUACCAGAAGUUAAUAGCAGCUUAUGUAGACGUAUUCUGAUCUUUUGCAGGGUAGAGAAACUAAGCUGACCCUGCUUUUCCACCUGCAGAACUAAUUUCCUUUGGCUCAAGUCAGGGUUUAUGGCUGGCUCCUCGCAGCGCUUUGCAAACCCACGGCGCCGGGAAGCUCCCAAACCUCCCAGCUGCUGUGAGGGAACAGAAGAAUGGGGGUGAUGCUGGAAGGAAAAUGAGCUCUUCUGGGAUGAAGAUCAGUCCAUGUAUAAGUUUUCAGGUGUUCCCCAUGGACCCUUUCACCGGUGGGUUUGGAUGUGCUAAGGAGGCCUGGAGUCUCUCAAGCGUUUGUAGUGGCUCAGGGCCGGCAGUCAGGCAGAGCAUGUGAGUUGUGUCCCAGCCUCUGAAAUACCACACAGGAGUGGAAACCUGGGGUUUGUACACAAAUUGUGAAGGUUUCUUUGUCAGCUUGUCUCCCCUCUCCUGCUGUUUUCCCUGCAGUUCCAAGCCUUCUCCUGAUCCCUGCUCUGCACAGGUUAUCAGAGCUGGUCAUACCCCAGCCUGCCAGCCCUCCCUCUGCCAGCUACCAGCAAGCCCUCCAAGCCCUCUCUGACACAGUCACCUUCCCUGAUCCAUCCCCACAUGUCGCUGUUGCGUGCAGGGACGGCGAAAAACGGCGUAAUUUCAGGUCAGAGAAGAUGGUCGAAGCUGACCCCUUUAAUGCCAAAAACCCAUCUUCUUAUAGCAUGGAUCGCAAAAGAGAAAUUACAUAAUUGGCCCAUCGGUCAACCACCUACCAAGGUGAUAGGCUAAGAGGUAUAACCACCCAUUUCAAAAUAUUAUUCCCAGUAAACUAAAAACAAUUCCACUAUGUUCUCACAACAGCCUUGCACCUGCAAAUGUUUACCAACUAGCAAACCGUCGGAGAGCUAGCUUGUGUGAGAAUGGAGAAUUUCACGUGAGACAGUAAAAAGUGGAGAAUCUUUUCUCUGCUAGCCUCCUCAGCAUCUACACCCACGUUCUCUGCUGUGCCCAUCCUCCCCACCCUCAAGGUGCCACAGCAGGCCCUUGCAAAAGGACUACUUCUCUUUUUUCAGCCAUUCAUAAUUUAAGGAACUACCUUAUCUGAUGAAAUUCUGAGAUUAUGUACCUGGCUUUUCUUUCUUUUUCUUCUUUCUUAUUUUCCUGUUUUAAUUAUCAGGACAGUGCUGUCCACUCUGAUUUCUCCUCCCUGAGAUCUUUUCAGCCCUCACCACCUUUGCUUGCCUUGCACAAGCACCGGUAGUUUAUUCUUCACCUGAGCCACAGUUUCAGCAGCAACCUAAGCCCUGCUGGGAAUCCCUUGCCAUCAUCGCUGUUGCUCCGUACAAUGCUGCCUACAGAGCUCGUAAUAAUCCCUGCGGGGAGCUAAUACACUCAGGACUUCUGUGGCAGCACCUCUCAUGUGGGAGGGCUUGCUGAGGGCAGAGUUGACUGCAAUUCCCUGCUCCUAUGAAGCUACAGUUUGGAAGAGUGAAUUUUGGUUGUUUCUGCUGCUUCAUUCAUUCACCCUCUUCCUCCAGAAUGAUCCCAGUGUUGUGCUACUGGGAAAUAUCACUACCAUGUACCACACUUUUUUUUUUGCUUUAAAGUCAAUACUUUAGCAAUAUUUUCCUGAAUUAUCCAGUUAGUCUUGUUUUCGCAUGACAAAUUUGUAUUCAAAUUUGUAUCCAGCUCAGCCACCGGAUGAUGCACUGAGGAUUAAGUUGAAUAAAUUAUAUGAAUUAUGGCCCCUUUUAAGAGGAGUCUCUGUUCCUUUAUCACUUGUACACUGUCCAAAUGUGUUGGAGGUGUUUGAUAGAAAAUGUUCAGAUAAUUUAGAUGUUGCAUGCCUGAGGUUUGACAACCAUUUUUAGCCUCUUAGGUGGAGUUUCAGUGGAAGCCAGAUGGUGGUUUUGGUGAUCUCUCUUGGGAAGAAAGCUGGUUUGUUGUCCAAGGACUUAGAGGAACAUCUGUGUUCUUGCUGUCCCUGCACUGUUGUAGAAUGAUCAGCCCUCCCUGGGGGAAGCUCAACAGGUUUCUAAAUCUCUGUCUCUAAGGAGAGAGCAUAUGCACAACCUUGAAGGAUGCUCCCCAGCAAAUAUUGCAGGAGUCUGCAGGCUACAGAGAUAUUCACUUGACCUCUACGUGAAUGUGUUCCCUGUUGUUCUACUAUAAAACCUCGUGGAAGGUGUUUCAGCAGGUUCUGGACACAAGUGAUUCAAAAUGCAUUCCUCCUUGUGUGGAACACAAAAAAUCAUCAAUGUGCAGAUUGAAAAGUCACUGAGCACCAAUGCAGCAUUGUUUACCGAUACAUGCAUGUUUCCGGCCUAUCAGAUGGCCUUGCUGAUAUCUGUCAGUAGGUUAUCAUAGGAGAUUUAUAAGAUAAAAUGGCCACCAAAAGUAGUCAGCCUUUUUACUGUAUGUUUGGUUACACCACAGUGUCCUGCAGAGUAUACCUUGUUCUUGGGACAUUGGUCUACAAUAAAAACAAAUUUAGGGGUGGGGAAUUUUUUAAGGACAUCUAAAAAUGUUUGUUUUCUCAAAGUUCUGCACACAGAGGUUAAAAAGAAUAAACUAGAAAAGCUGUUUCUAAACAAUUCAUUGUAUGUUUCGUGUUCGAACUCAAAUUAUAUGCUGUUUUCUCACAGAGCCAUACUCCAAGUAUGGACUAAUUCUGUCCUAAAAAUGAAUCACUAUUGUAUAAUGAAGGGAACUGUUUUCUGUAAAGCCUGAAUUACACAGCUGUAAAGUGGUGGGAUUACUAGAAGAGGGAGGGAGAGGACCUUCCCUUGAUCAUGGAGCAGGGACCUGGCCAAGCAGCUGAGUUCUUUCUCCAUCCGUGAUGCCAUGCUUAAUCAGUCAGACCCAGAGCCCCCUAGGGAGCUGUUCCCUCUGAGUUUCUUAUGGCCUGGCUUAAUAUUUACUUGCAGAAAUGCCAAGUAUUGUCAGCUGCAAAAGGCUUUGGGAGCACUCCUCUGAACCAGACAUCCUAAAAAAAUCUAUCUGAAAAAAAUCGGGUCAUUGGCAUCAAGCAGGAUAUUAGUUGAUUUAUCUGUUGUGGCUCUUCAUCUACAAAUUGUAAAUUUUGUUAUGAGUUACAUUACCUCUUCAACUCUUUCCAUCAAAGGAUGCUGACAUAAAAUGAUGUUUACGCAGUACUAUAGCAAGCACUGUUGAAGAAAUGCCAGCACUAAAUGUGGCCUAGGGAUGAAUAUUUAAGAAUGGAUGGGGGAUGAUUGCUGGCUUCUACAUCGGCAAGCACCGUGCACCCUGUGCUUCGAAAGAAGCCGUGUCCAGCUUAAAGACUCUGUUACGUUAUUACAUAAAGAAAGCAAAGGCACAGAAUAAAGAUUCGCUCAUGAUUUCUGACGUUCUCUAACUUUCGGUGGCUUUAAUCUGCCGCCACACUGGCGGUGGUGCUACGAGGUUCAAAGGGACAGGCAGGGAUGUUCCGCAGCGUUGCCUGGAUGUUGCCUCGGGAUGAGAGCUCGGGAUGACAGCUACUCCGCUGCGACCCGUGCUGUCACCUGAGCUCCCGCAGCUCCGGCGCUCCCGAGCAGCACCCGCCCUGUGCGCGCCGCUUCUUUCGCCCUGUCCCGUCCUGUCCGCCCAGGACUGUGUCCCCAGACCCCGCCGAGGCAGCCGCGGGGGUGCCUCCUCCCGCGCUCUCUGGAGCUCCGUGUGCUAACGCUGUGAGCAGAGAGGUGAAAACACUGCUCUCAUCAGGAUUCAGAUUCUGCAUUUUGCUCUUCUCCGCUGUUUAA